AGUGAACGCUGGCGGCGUGCCUAAUACAUGCAAGUCGAACGAACGAAUAAGAGCUUGCUCUUAUAAGUUAGUGGCGCACGGGUGAGUAAUAUAUAGCUAAUCUGCCUCUUAGUAGAGGAUAACAGUCGGAAACGAUUGCUAAUACUCUAUACUUCUGCUUUACAUAAGUAAAGUAGAGAAAGUUUUUCGCUAAGAGAUGAGGCUAUACUGUAUCAGCUAGUUGGUAAGGUAACGGCUUACCAAGGCUAUGACGCAUAACUGGUCUGAGAGGAUGAUCAGUCACAUUGGAACUGAGACACGGUCCAAACUCCUACGGGAGGCAGCAGUAGGGAAUAUUGCGCAAUGGGGGAAACCCUGACGCAGCAACGCCGCGUGGAGGAUGACACUUUUCGGAGAGUAAACUCCUUUUAUCGGGAAAGAAUAAUGACGGUACCCGAUGAAUAAGCACCGGCUAACUCCGUG
rnacentral:rRNA from 1 species